GCGCGAUUAGCUCAGUGGUAGAGCACUUGCUUCACACGCAAGGGGCCGCAGGUUCAAACCCUGCAUCGCGCACCA
rnacentral:tRNA from 1 species